CACCGCGGGCGAGAGCGGCGACCGCGAGGGAUUGACGUUGUUUCUGGUCAAUCCCAGGAGCAAAGGCAUCGAGAUCGAGCGCACCGCGAUGGUCGAUGCGCACAACGCCGCGCGCAUUGUGUUCAACGAUGCCGAGGUGACGGCGGACGGCGUUCUCGGUGAAGUCGAUCAGGGCGGCGUGCUGCUCGAAGGCAUUCUCAAUGUUGGCCGCGCCGCCGUGGCGUCGGAAAUGGUUGGCCUCAGCGAGGAAGCCUUCACGCGCACCGUGACGUACCUCAAGGAGCGCAAGCAGUUCGGCAA
rnacentral:misc_RNA from 1 species